GGUGCCAUAGCCUCGAGGUUACGCUUUCGCUUCGCAAGCGGAAGGUCAAGGGUUCGAUUCCCUAUCCCCCCA
rnacentral:tRNA from 1 species